rnacentral:rRNA from 1 species
UACUCGGGGAUAGCCUUUCGAAAGAAAGAUUAAUACCCGAUGUUAUAGUCCUACCGCAUGAUGGGAUUAUUAAAGAAUUUCGGUAUGGGAUGGGGAUGCGUUCCAUUAGUUAGUUGGCGGGGUAACGGCCCACCAAGACAACGAUGGAUAGGGGUUCUGAGAGGAAGGUCCCCCACAUUGGAACUGAGACACGGUCCAAACUCCUACGGAAGGCAGCAG